UUGUCAACCACUUUUCCACAGUCUCGAGUUUCUUUUCUUUUGUUCAGCAUAUAAAUUGUAGUCUUGGGAAGACAGUUUCUUCACAUACUCAUUGAUACCUGUUACUGUGCUUUCCAUUAGCUGAAUAAAAUUGACCUGCUGCUUGAGCUAAUGUGUUUGAAUAAAGAUUUGUUAACUUCAGAGACUUUUGAAGAGAUAUGAUGUUGACAAUCCCUUUCACCUUGGCUGGAUAUCACACCGCACUCCUUUCCUCCAUGUUU
rnacentral:lncRNA from 1 species